rnacentral:misc_RNA from 1 species
GGAGUUGCAGAUUGUAGCUGUGACAGUGGCGGUGGCGGUGGCGGUGGCGUUGUGGAGUUGAACGUUGGAUCGGGUUGGGAGGGUUGAAGGGUCGGGUUAGCGUACUCCGGUUUAUUAGAAUUAGGGUCUAAGGUGGCAGCAGGAGAAGAUGGAGGGUCCGCCAUGGAAAUAUUAACAGAAACACAGAGAGAAAGAGAGAGAGAGAGACAGAGAGAGGGAUUACGAUUUGUGAGGUUGAUUUCCAUUCCUCGGCGAAAUUAGCGAAUUGGGCAAUUGCUAUAUCCACACCAACGCUUAUGGAUGUUCUUUCUGCAGGAAGUCUUCUUCUCUUUUCCUCUUUUAGUUCGUAGUUGAAGAUGGUGAGUCAAUCUCUAUACCCUUUUUCUGUUUCCAUUCAUUUUAGUGUUUUAAAUGCAUUUUCAAUUCCAUUUUAUUCAUCAACACUUCUUUAGUUUGAUUGGUAGCAAAUCAUAGUUUCUUUUUGUUAUUGAAUUCGCUGAUUGGUUAAUGAGGGGACCGAUAUGAAAUUUAGUUUGCAUAACACGUGAUAAGCUCCUAAACAUUAAUGUGGGUGGGUUAUGAGUUAGUGAAAGGACAGGGAAGCUGCUUUAUUUGGAUAUGGAUUAUGGGUAUCGCAUUGAGCCAAUAUUGAUGUUGUUUUUAGCUGCGUGUCUCUUCAGUUACUAGAAAUGGGGAUAUUGUUGAUGGGCAUCUUGAAUAUUCAUGGAAAUGCAUAAAUGUGAUGAUCUAAAGUCUUCUUGUCAACGCAAACAAAUUUGUAGAAGCAACUGGCGUAUGAAGAAACUGGAAUUUUAUGCUUACAACAUUUGUAUUGAGUUAGUACAAGUUAUAAGGAAGAGAGAGAAAUGUCGGUGAAAAGGGGAUAAAAGAAUAGGAAUGGUCCUUUGCUGUUGUUGGUGAGAAUCAGAAGAAUCACCUUGAGGUUUUUAUUUUUUUAUUUUUUUAAUAUAGUCACCCACAAAACAUGGGACAUAUUUUCAACCAGAGUACUUAUGAGGAGGUGAUUUGUGUGAAAUUCCUAGUUAUAUCAAUUGUAGUUUAUGAAAAGAGGGUAUGUAGGAAGAGAGAGGAUGUUGCAAGGGCUGGCUCAAGCUCAAGAAAACCUUGGAUUUGGCCUCAAACUUUAUUGCUUAGACUGUCGGUGCUAAAGUCUUUGCUAAAAUUGAAGGAGAUACAUCGUGAAAUACUGUUUAAGGUUAGGUUGCCUCUUUCUAUAUUAGGAUGUGCAUAUGCUAUUAUAACAAUGAGCCAUAUAUACAGUAUGUGCAUAAAGUAUCCUUUUAUGAAGAUGCAAUUUCUAACUUCUUGCUGGAUUUUUUUUACUGUAAUUUUUUGUUGUUACAUGCUGACCAAUUGUCAACGAAGAUUUUUCACUCUUCUUAAUUGGUAUCCAAUUUCAAUGCUUCAUUUUACUGAAAGGCUAUGUACAUCCGGGUUAAGCGUAACAAGACAACUUACUUUAUCCAAUGCGAUCCAACUGAGAAAAUUCUGGAGAUUAAGCAGAAAUUGCAAGUCUUGAUUGAUAAGCCAGUAAAUGAUCAGCGACUCAUCUCAUUGUCAAAUGGGGAAUUGUUGGAGGAUUCAAAGACAUUGGCAGAGCAGAAGGUUGAAAAUGAUGCAAAGUUGGCGUUAACCUUGAGAAAAGGCGACAAUGAAUUUGAGGAUAUCAAUAUUGUAAAGCCAGAUGAUUUCUACCAGACUCGUGAUGGAAUUGGUGAGCCUUGACCUUGAGAAGGCAUAGCUGCAGGAUGACUGUAGGUACAGCUGAACACACAUGCUAAUAGCUCUCUGAUGUAUUUACUGUUGGAUUUUCUAGUGUCAUAAAAACAUUUAUGUAGUUUCAAAUGAGAGUUUCUUGUGCAAGCUGAAAUUUUCGUGCUUGCUAUGCGAAGUGAUGUGACGUUAUGGGUAAUACAACAAUAUGGUUGUUGUGUGUGUUAUAUGACUUACUUUCUCUUUUUCUUCCACCAUAUUAUAAUUUUCACUUGGGAAAGAUUCGGAGAGAACCUUGAAUUUUGUCAAAGAUGAUAUGGAUAAGCAUCAACUAUCUGAGGUUACUGGUGUGCACGUGAUCAUAUUGUCAACUGAAAUGAUUGAAUGGUACAGUGCAUUUGCAUUGACCAGGUGUGUGCUUCCUUCUCAUCCAUUUUUUAUCCUUAAGGAGAAAAGCUAAUAUGACCUUUCCCAAUAUUUUAAGAGCUACUCGUGCAUCUUCAACUCCCUCAGCCUCCUGUUGCUUUUGAGUGUUGGAACAUUUGGGAUCUAGUUCUUUGUACUCGGUCACUUCAUAUGAAUGUUUGUGUUGACGUUUCCAUCUACACAGCCCAGUUGCUCUCAGAUGAAGUACAAGUUUUAAUGCCUCAUACCAUGAAUGCAAAUAGGUAAGCACAACGCUUGUAGAUGAAACACACAUAUAUAUUUACAUACACACACAAGCACACAUAUUUCUUCUUUUGCACAUAUAUCUUUCAUUUUGAAUGAAUUAUGAUAGUCAUUACAAUAUAGGUUCAGGCAGUCCUAUACCAAUUUAUUAGCAGUACUUAUAUUUUCUUGUUAAUUUUUUUUAUUUUUAUAUAUAUUAUUUGUAAUAUAUUUGGUUUUAACAUUUUUUAUUAUUAUUCUUAAUACCGACAUUUCAUAAA